UUUUUACCAACUCAUGUGACCUCAUUUACCUCUACCAAAUAAAUUGAAAUUAUGAAUGGCCUAAAAGAUAAUCCUCCAGCCGUGACACACUUCCUCUCGAUAAAACAAAUGCCACAUUCCAAUUGAAAAGCAAAUUGAAAGGUGAUUCUUCUUCUCUGAUUCAGCAUCAAAAUAAAAGAAAAAAAACAAAGACCCCUACAUUCCAAAAAGAAAACAAAAGCUAAGCUACUUUUCUAGACUCAACCGUAACAUCCCUGCACCCAUUUUUCCAAGCAAAGAAUUAUACUUCUUCUCUCAAAAUUCCAGCCGUGACUUCACAUACCUUCUUCCAUCAAAUCACUUCUUCACUCUUUAAUUAAAUAAAAUAAAAGCAAGCUAACUACACCUAAG
rnacentral:lncRNA from 1 species